rnacentral:rRNA from 1 species
AGAAUCAACGCUGGCGGCGUGCCUAACACAUGCAAGUCGAACGCGGUUAACACUGCUUCGCAAGAAGUAGUGGUGACUGAGUGGCGAACGGGUGAGUAACACGUGGGUGACCUGCCUUCGAGUGGGGGAUAACGUUCCGAAAGGGACGCUAAUACCGCAUGACAUCCUGCCUUUGAAGAGGUGGAUAUUAAAGCUGGGGAUCGUAAGACCUGGCGCUUGAAGAGGGGCCCGCGUCCGAUUGGCUAGUUGGUGGGGUAACGCCUACCAAGGCGACGAU